UAGGGAAUAUUGGUCAAUGGACGCAAGUCUGAACCGGCCAUCCCGCGUGCAGGACGACGGCCCUAUGGGUUGUAAACUGCUUUUGUACAGGAAGAAUAAGCACUACGUGUAGUGUGAUGACGGUACUGUAAGAAUAAGGAUCGGCUAACUCCGUGCCAGCAGCCGCGGUAAUACGGAGGAUCCAAGCGUUGUCCGGAUUUAUUGGGUUUAAAGGGUGCGUAGGCGGUCUAUUAAGUCAGUGGUGAAAGUUUGCGGCUUAACCGUAAAAUUGCCAUUGAAACUGAUAGACUUGAGUUUGGUUGAGGUUGCCGGAAUGUGUCAUGUAGCGGUGAAAUGCUUAGAUAUGAUACAGAACACCGAUUGCGAAGGCAGGUGACUAAACCAAUACUGACGCUGAGGCACGAAAGCGUGGGGAUCAAACAGG
rnacentral:rRNA from 1 species